GUUUAUUUAUUUGAGUUUCAACAAAACUCUUCUGUUUCAAGUCACUUGUGUAUGGAAAGAAAUAUUUCUUUAGUGGUAAGCAAUGCCUCCACUGGAUCAUGACACCACAGACAGCAAUAAUGCAGUUUCUCAGGAUUUUGAGAAGCCACAUCCUAAUACAGCUGUGUCGAGCACAAAGCAGGAAUCAGCACUAAAUGAACUUACCAUUCAUCGGCAAAUCAAUUCACUUCUAGAGAUACCAACUAACUUACCAUGCAAGGAAAACUCUUGCAAACACAAUGAGAAAAUAUAUAACACAGAAAGUAAUUGGGACAGAAAUUAAACAGUGGUUUUUUUUUUAGAUGAGAGGUAUAGUAUAUUAUCAUGUAACUGAAUUACAUAACUGGGGCUAAAGGUAUAAGGCUAAGUUGCGUUGGAAGUAGGGAAGAAUCUCUUCUAGAAAACAACUGGAAAGAAAUGAUGCUUAGUUUUGUAUAUAACAUAAUGUUGAUUCACUUUUUUUAGUAUUGUUUUGCUUUAUUUUGACUUUCAGUCAAGGAAAAGCUACA